AGUGAUUUAAGAUCAUGUUAAUUUUUUUUUUCCAGACAGAGCUUUGCUCUUGUCACCCAGGCUGGAGUGCAGUGGCACAAUCUCGGCUAACUGCAACCUCUGCCUCCUGAGUUCAAGCAGUUCUCCUGCCUCAGUCUCCCGAGUAGCUGGGAUUAAGGUGCCUGCCUCCACGCCUGGAUAAUUUUUGUAUUUUUAGUAGAGACGGGGUUUCACUAUGUUGGCCAGGCUGGUCUCGAACUCCUGACCUCGUGAUCUGCCUGCCUCGGCAUCCCAAAGUGCUGGGAUUACAGGCGUGAGUCACCGCGCCUGGCCAAUCAGAUUAAUCUUUACAGUUUCUGAAUAGUUUACUUAAUAAAAUUCAGGAUAAAUGCUAUAUUAGCUCAUUAAAGCACAAAUAUAAAUAUCUUCCGUGGGAAACUACUUGAAACAAACUUUCAUAUUUGUGCCGCAUAAUUUUUAAAGGCAUUUAACUGGCCGGGUGCAGUGGCUCACACCUGUAAUCCCAGCACUUUGGGAGGCGGAGGCAGGCGGAUCACCUGAGGUCAAGAGUUUGAGACCAGUCUGGCCAACGUGAUGAAACUCCGCCUCUACUAAAAAUACAAAAAUUAGCCAGGCACGGUGGCGGGUGCCUGUAAUCCCAGUUACUCGGGCAGCUGAGGCAAGAGAAUUGCUUGAACCCGGGAGGCAGAGGUUGCAGUGAGCCAAGAUCGUGCCAUUGUACUUCAGCCUGGGCGACAGAGAGAAACUCGGUCUCAAAAAAAAAAAAAAAUUAAUAAAUAAAUAAAGGCAUUUAACCCUGACUCUCCCAUGCUUCUAAGUUAAAAUGAGUUAAUAGAAAUGUGUCUUUCCAUUCACUUUCAGAUCACCCUAAAAAAAAGAAAAACCAAAAGGCUUUCCCAUUAUUUAUUUGCUUUCUUUUCUGGGGGUUUUUCCUGUUUGUCAGCUAACUACUGUAGGUAGCAUUAUUUUAAUAAGAGUAAAUAAUAAUGACAGUAACACAAUAAUAUUGACCUCUAUUCAUAUACUGCUAGGUUUUCUGUGUUUAUUCAUCUUGUGAGUAUUAUCACCAUUUCAUAGUUGAUGCUGAAACUAAGAGAGGUUAAGUCACUUGUUCAAAGUUAUACAGUAGGUGGCAGGGUUGGAUAUUGAAUCCAUCUCCAGAACCUGUACUCUUAACCACUAAUACAGCAUAUUAUUAAAAUACUGUUUUCAUUUUCUUUUCUUUUUCUUUCUUUUUUUUUUUUUUUUUUUUAGAUAGGGCCUAUCUCUGUUGCCCAUGCUGGAGUGCACUGGCUUCACCCUCCAGAGUGGCUGAGACUACAGGUCAUCAUGCCCAGCUAAUUUGUAUGUAUGUAUGUAUUUAUUUAUUUUAGAGACAGGAUCUUGCCACGUUGCCCAGGCUGGUAGUCAAACUCAUGGCUUCAAAAAAUCUUCCUGCCUCAUCCUCCCAAAGUGCUGGGAUUACAGGUGUGAAGUAUGGCACCCAGCCUAAAGUGUUUUUUGGACACAUGUAGGGCAGUCCUGUUCCAACUGUUCAUGUCCAAACAUAGAGAAUGAAAAGCAUUGCUCUCUGUUUCACCUCUUGUCCUAUUCCCCCAAAUUUAUAGGGGGCUGCUGUCACCUCUUAUUCUGACUCACCUGUUUGGCUUUUUUUUUUUUCCCUUGAGAAGGGUCUGUCUGUCACCCAGGCUGCAGUGCAGUGGUGCAAUCACAGUUCACCGCACCCUCGGCUUCCCGGCCUCAGGUGAUCCUCUCACCUCAGUCUCCCAAGUAGCUGGGACCACAGGUGCCUGCCACCAUGCCCAACUAAUUUUUGUAUUUUUUGUAGAGACAGGGUUUUGCCAUGUUGCCCAGGCUGAUCCUGAACUCCUGGGCUCAAGUGAUCUUCCCACCUUGGCCUCCCAAAGUACAGGCAUGAGCCACCAUGCCAGGUGUGUUUGGCCUUUAUGUUCUGCCUAACAUGCCAGGCACUGCCAAAGUGCUUGGGUGCUUCUGACCAUGUUCCUUAUAUCCCACUCUCCAGACAUUCCCUUCACUAGUAGAUGCCAACUAAUUCCCUCUACUCCAGCCUGUGGCUUCUGUAUCCUGCUCUCCCUGCUUCCCUUCUUGUCUGCCACAUUAAGUUUGAGUAGACUUUCCAUAUCUGCUGGUGACACUGACUACUUAGCAAAAGAGAGAGAGAGAGAAAUUUAAAGCCAGGACAAGAAACCAAUCAAUAUGGAGGGUAAAAGGGUCAUAGAAGGACCAUGAUUAAAAUGUGAAUACCAGCCAGGCGGUGGAGGCCCACCUGUAAGCUCAGCUACUCAGGAGGCUGAGGAGUAGGAUCGCUUAUGCCCAGGAGUUCUGGGCUAUAGUGUGCUAUGCCCAAGAGGUGUCUACACUAAGUUCAGCAUCAAUAUGGUGACCUCCCAGGAGCAGGGGACCACCAGGUUACCUAAGGAGGAGUGAACCAACCUAGGUCAGAAACAGAGCAGGUCAAAACUCCCAUGCUGAUCAGUAGUGGGAUCACACCUGUGAAUGACCAGUGCUAAAGUGCUCUCCAGUCUGGGCAACAUAGUGAGACAACUCCCCAUAAAUAAUUUUUUUUUUUUAAAUUCAGACAGAGUCUUGCUCUGUCACCCAGGCUAGAGUGCAGUGGCAUGAUCUCAGCUCACUGCAACUUCUGCCUCUUAGAUUCAAGCAAUUCUCCCACCUCAGCCUCCUGAGUAGCUGGGAUUACAGGCACAUACCACCACGCCCAGCUUUUUUUUUUUUUUUUUUUUAGUAGAAGCGGGGUUUUGCCAUGUUGGCCAGAUUGGUUAUGAACUCCUGACCUCAAGUGAUCCGCCCACCUCAGCCUCCCAAAGUGCUGGGAUUACAGGCAUGAGCCACCUCACCUGGCCUCCCAUAAACAAAUAUUUUAAAAUGUGAAUACCAGAAAGUAGAGGAUGGAAGGCUGGGCAUGGUGGCUCACGCCUAUAAUCUCAGUACUUUGGAAGGUUGAGGUGGGUGGAUUGCUUUGCCUAGGAGUUCGAGACCAGCCUGGGCAACAUGGCGAAACCCAUCUCUACAAAAAAUACAAAAAUUAGCCAGUGUGGUGGCAUGCACCUGUAGUUGCAGGUACUCAGAAGGCUGAGAAGAGAGAAUCACCUGAGUCAGGAAGUGGAGGCUGCAGUGAGCCAUGAUCGUGCCACUGCAUUCCAGCGUGGCCAACGGAGAAAGACCCUGUAUCAAAAAAAAUUUUCUAAUUAAAAUAGAAAAGAAGGCCAGGCGCAGUGGCUCACACCUGUAAUACCAACACUUUGGGAAGCCAAGGCGGGUGGAUCAUUUGAGGUCAGGAGUUCAAGACCAGUCUGGCCAACAUGGUGAAACCCUGUCUCUACUAAAAAUACAAAAAUUAGGCCAGGCACAGUGGCUCACGCCUGUAAUCCCAGCACUUUGGGAGGCCAAGGCAGGCAGAUCACGAGGUCAGGAGAUGGAGAUCAUCCUGGCUAACAUGGUGAAACCCCAUCUCUACUAAAAAAAUUAGCUGGGUAUGGUGCAGAUGCCUGUAAUCCCAGCUACUUGGGAGGCUGAGGCACGAGAAUCACUUGAACCCAGGAGGCAGAGGUUGCAAUGAGCCGAGAUCGUGCCACU
rnacentral:lncRNA from 10 species